rnacentral:rRNA from 2 species
CUGAAAUCAGCGGGAUUACCC